rnacentral:misc_RNA from 1 species
AAGUCGUAACAAGGUUUCCGUAGGUGAACCUGCGGAAGGAUCAUUAACACGUAUCAAAACGUUAAACCCCCCUGUGAACCUGUUAGAAAAAGCCUGGUAAAAUCAUCGCCGAACAGUUUUCGAUUCAGGGAUGUCUGCAAGGAGCGUGCAUGUUGUGCGAGCAAGUGGCCUGGCAUCCCCAAGCAGUUAGUGUCUGAAAGUGUCAUUAACUGUGUAAGGAUGACGCAGUCACGAUCGUUGGAGGCCCACACGGCCGACGACCGGGUCACUGGGCGCAAGCCCCCCUAUAACAAACGCUGCUAAUCGCGGCCGCGAUAAUACGCAGUCGACCAAAAACCGAACAACUGUUAACAAUGGAUAUCUUGGUUCUC